CCUGAGCCUAUGGAAAGGUCACAUGACGUGGAUGGGCGUGCCUACCCUCGUAAGAGCGAACGGUUCCCGGCAUGCAUCUGUGUGAGCAGAGUUUAUAAUCGCGUGCGGUUCCCCCGCCUUGAUGAACACAAAUCUAGUGACUACAUAACUACUCACCGCACAUGUCCAGCCUAUUAUCAUGGAGAGUCAGCCUCAUUCUUCUAUGUCUGAUGAACCAACGGAGGAUAGUAACACAUCUGCUGAAACAGCCCAAGGAAAUGUAAGCCAUGAACACAAGAAAAAAUUAGGUGCCAGUAGUAGACCCUACAAACAUAGAAAUAAAGACAAGAUACAGGAACGUAUCCAAGAGAAGAAGCUGAUUACCUGCAAGGAAUGCGGAAAGCGGUUUUCUGAAGGCUCAUGCUUAGCGCAGCAUCAAAAAAUACACCUUGGAGUGACCCCUUUUACCUGCUAUGAAUGUGGGAAAAAGUUCUUGCACAGAAGUAACUUGACAAGGCACCAAGACACUCAUCUACGCCAAAAAUACUAUGGUGUCAAAUCAACAUUAAUGAGACAGAAAAACAAAAAUUGUCUGGAGUCAUGGUGUGAGGACAACCUAUAAAACAAAGAACAGUUCACAACUGAAGCAUAAUGUUUCCAGAGAAACUGGACAUGAAAAGCCGACGAUAUACUGAAACCAAGGGUUUGUUCAAAAAUGGCAUAAGUUUAUCAUUAUCGCUUUGUUGCAGGACAAAUUUAAUGCCCUCCAUUCAUACCACUUGAUACUAGAGUGAAGAUUUGAGAGGGGCUCUGGGAUCUUUGAAGCAGACCAUUGGAGCCAGGGGAAAUGGAGCGGUGUAGAAAGGGGAAGGUGGCAACAUGAUGACACCAUAACGACACUGUCCUUGGUGUAGGGUUGUUGGAGUUCUAUUAUUGUAUUUCAUACCGUUCGUUUGUAUGAUACUGUUUGACUCUUUGCUGUAAUUGUUUUAUUUGAAUAAAGGACUUGAAAAUUUAAAAAA